AGGUAGUACAAAAUGGAGUUAUAGUUUUGUUUAAGGUAGUUGAAAAUUUUAUCUACGCCCAGUAGAUGACCGAACGUAGCUCUGGUACCACUGUUAGUAUUUAAAGGUUGUGAAAGGAGUAGUUGAUAAGGUAGAUAAAAUGUGGAGAUAGUAGAAUGUAAAAGUAGUAGUUGGAAGAAGUGUUGUAGUUGUCUUUAGUUGUUGUAGAUGUUGGCU
rnacentral:lncRNA from 1 species